AUCCAUUCCUCGUUCUCCUGUUGGCUCAUACCAAGGCCUCAACGCACGCCCGGAUCUCAGGGCUCGCCUCCUCCAGGCUCUGGCAGAAGUCCUGCGCACAGUUGUUCUCCAGGCCACGUCCUGCAUGACCCAGCAUCACUCAGUGCAUUGGAGAAUGGAGACAGUUACCUGG